rnacentral:rRNA from 1 species
UACAGAGGUCUCAAGCGUUGUUCGGAUUCAUUGGGCGUAAAGGGUGCGUAGGUGGCGCCGUAAGUCAGGUGUGAAAUUUCGGAGCUUAACUCCGAAGCUGCAUUUGAUACUGCGGUGCUUGAGGACUGGAGAGGAGACUGGAAUUCACGGUGUAGCAGUGAAAUGCGUAGAUAUCGUGAGGAAGACCAGUGGCGAAGGCGGGUCUCUGGACAGUUCCUGACACUGAGGCACGAAGGCCAGGGGAGCAAACGGG